GCGGGGAGUCGCGGCUGGCGCCGGGUUCCGAGAGCGCAGCGGGCUCCAAGCGCCAGGAGGACACCGGCGCCGCCGCCGUCCGCGUUCUCCGUCCUUGGGCGCCAUGGCCCCACUGAGGCCAGGAGCUCCCGUGGGUCCCCAAGCACCUCGGCCGUGGCGCCACUGAGCUCGGACAGGCCAGGGGACGUUUUUGCCCCCGGGCACCCCACAAGACAGAGCGGGAGCCAUGGAGCCUCCGGCCGCCCCCUCGGAGAGGAGCCUGUCUCUCUCUCUUCCCGGGCCCCGAGAGGGCCAGGCCACCCUGAAGCCGCCCCCCCAGCACCUGUGGCGGCAGCCGAGGACCCCGAUCCGCAUCCAGCAGCGCGGCUACUCGGACAGUGCCGAGCGCUCAGAGCCAGAGCGCUCGCCGCACCGGCCCAUAGAGCGCGCCGACGCCGUGGACACUGGCGACCGGCCAGGCCUGCGGACUACCCGCAUGUCCUGGCCCUCGUCCUUCCACGGCACCGGUACCGGCGGAGGCAGCAGUAGGCGCUUGGAGGCAGAAAAUGGGCCAACACCGUCCCCUGGCCGCAGCCCCCUGGACUCGCAGGCGAGCCCGGGGCUUAUGCUGCAUGCCGGGGCAGCCACCAGCCAGCGCCGAGAAUCCUUCCUCUAUCGCUCAGACAGCGACUAUGACAUGUCACCGAAGACUAUGUCCAGGAACUCAUCCGUCGCCAGCGAAGCGCAUGGUGAAGACCUCAUUGUGACCCCGUUUGCCCAGGUGCUGGCCAGUCUCCGCAACGUUCGAAGCAACUUCUCACUCCUAACCAAUGUGCCCAUCCCCAGCAACAAGAGGUCCCCGCUGGGCGGGCCACCCUCUGUCUGCAAGGCCACACUGUCAGAGGAGACAUGCCAGCAGCUGGCCCGGGAGACCCUGGAAGAGCUGGAUUGGUGCCUGGAGCAGCUGGAGACCAUGCAGACCUACCGCUCUGUCAGCGAGAUGGCCUCACACAAGUUUAAAAGGAUGCUGAACCGGGAACUCACACACCUGUCGGAAAUGAGCAGGUCAGGAAACCAGGUCUCAGAGUACAUUUCCAACACGUUCCUAGCCUCAGAACAGAGAAGAGCAUUCCCUGCAGAAGGAUGGCCUCAUAGCAAACAAGCAGCACGAAGUGGAGAUCCCAUCGCCCACGCCGCGACAGAGACCCUUCCAGCAGCCCCCACCAGCAGCAGUGCAGCAGGCCCAGCCCAUGUCUCAGAUCACAGGGCUGAAAAAGCUGGUACACACCGGAAGCUUGAACAUCAAUGUCCCACGAUUUGGAGUCAAGACAGAUCAGGAGGACCUCUUAGCACAAGAACUGGAGAACUUGAGCAAAUGGGGCCUGAACAUCUUUUGUGUGUCGGAGUACGCUGGAGGCCGUUCACUCAGCUGUAUCAUGUAUACGAUAUUCCAGGAGCGGGACUUACUGAAGAAAUUCCACAUCCCCGUGGACACCAUGAUGACAUACAUGCUGACGCUGGAGGACCACUACCACGCUGACGUGGCCUACCACAACAGCCUGCACGCAGCCGAUGUGCUACAGUCCACACAUGUGCUGCUGGCCACGCCUGCACUGGAUGCCGUGUUCACAGACCUGGAGAUUCUUGCUGCUCUCUUCGCUGCUGCCAUCCAUGACGUGGACCACCCUGGCGUCUCCAACCAGUUCCUAAUCAACACCAAUUCGGAGCUGGCAUUGAUGUACAACGAUGAGUCUGUGCUUGAGAACCACCACCUGGCUGUGGGAUUCAAGCUGCUGCAAGAAGAGAACUGCGACAUCUUCCAGAACCUCAGCAAGCGCCAGCGGCAGAGCCUGCGCAAGAUGGUCAUCGACAUGGUGCUGGCCACAGACAUGUCCAAGCACAUGACCCUUCUGGCUGACCUGAAGACUAUGGUAGAGACGAAGAAAGUGACCAGCUCUGGAGUUCUCUUGCUGGACAACUACUCUGACCGUAUCCAGGUCCUCAGGAACAUGGUGCACUGUGCAGACCUCAGCAAUCCCACCAAGCCCCUGGAGCUGUACCGACAAUGGACUGAUCGCAUCAUGGCUGAGUUCUUCCAGCAGGGUGACCGAGAACGGGAACGCGGAAUGGAGAUUAGCCCCAUGUGUGACAAGCACACAGCCUCUGUGGAGAAGUCUCAGGUGGGCUUCAUCGACUAUAUUGUUCACCCACUGUGGGAGACGUGGGCCGAUCUCGUCCACCCCGAUGCCCAAGACAUCCUGGACACGCUGGAAGACAACCGGGAUUGGUAUCACAGUGCCAUCCGCCAGAGUCCCUCCCCAACCCUGGAAGAGGAGCCAGGAGUGCUCAGCGAUCCGGCCCUGCCUGACAAGUUCCAAUUUGAGCUCACCUUGGAGGAAGAGGAUGAAGAGGAUUCAUUGGAGGUUCCAGGAUUGCCUUGCACUGAGGAAACUCUCCUGGCUCCACAUGAUACCAGAGCUCAAGCCAUGGAACAGUCAAAGGUCAAAGGCCAGAGCCCUGCUGUUGUGGAGGUAGCAGAGAGUUUGAAGCAGGAGACAGCCUCAGCACAUGGCGCUCCUGAGGAGUCCGCGGAGGCUGUGGGCCAUUCCUUCAGCCUUGAAACCUCUAUUCUGCCUGACUUGAGGACCCUGUCCCCCUCAGAGGAGGCCCAGGGCCUCCUGGGCCUCCCCUCCAUGGCGGCAGAGGUGGAGGCCCCAAGAGACCAUCUGGCUGCCAUGAGGGCUUGUUCUGCCUGCUCGGGGACAUCAGGAGACAAUUCUGCCGUCAUCUCUGCUCCAGGCAGGUGGGGGUCAGGUGGAGACCCUGCCUGAUCCCUUUUCCCUUCACCCUCGGCUCCUCCCUCCUCCCCACACUCUCCACUCACCACAGACCACCUCAACGACUCCUGGCCCUCCUGAGAAAAAAGAAAACAGAAAAGUGGGGUUUUUUCUCUUUUCUUUUUUUCACCCUUCCCCCCCUGCCCUUGCCCACAGGGCCUUUUUGUUGAAGUGGGGUAUGGAGAGCCAGGAACUGAAGUCCCCCAAAAAAGGGAUUUUAUUUUUUUGAAUUUUAAUUGUAACGUUUUUAGAAAAAGAACAAAAAGAAAAAAAAAAAAAGAGUGAAACACAUCAGCUGUAGAUGCUCUCCCUCCCGGCCCCUGGGCCCACCUCGUUCCCUCAUCACCCUACCUAUCAACCUCAGUUCCAAGGCGCCAUCCUCCUGCCUCUUUUGAGACUUGCUCCUUGAGAUUCAAGCCUAGGUGUGGCACUGCCCUUUGGUCAGUCCCUCCAUACGGAGGGAGUCUACAACCCGAUUGGGAAUAGCCACCGGGAGAGGCUGUCACAGGAGAGGCUGGCCCACAGCAGGCCUCUCCCUGGCUCACUGUCCUCUACCACAAAGUCUUCCAUGUCUCUCCUCUCUGUUUUCUAUCUUUGUUUGUUCAACUCUGGCCACAUGGUGAAAGAGGUGGUCAGACGGGCUGUUGCUUUAUGAUCCAGGGACUCUUGGUUUCACCCCGACCACCAGCCUCAGCCUGGGGUCCCAAGUCUCAAUUCCCUUCUCUGGAUGCCAUCUUCCUGGUCCACUCUGGGUCACUUUGAAUUCUCUCCGUUGGAGGAAGGGGGCUCUGUUCCAUGCGCACAAACACAUCCUCCUUCCAGCUGCUUCUUCCUCUUGUUUCUGCCUUAACGAUUCCUGUGGCCAUAGGUGAAGUCUCCAUGGCUCCCUCCUGCUCCCUGGGUCCUAUCUCCCAGCAUAGAUGACACUCCUUUGCCAGCAUCCACUCAACCACCCUUCAGCCCCGUCACUCCACUCCCCUACACCAACUCUCAUUGCCCUAGGAGGAAGCAAUAAUGGUGGUACCACAUCCUCCCAUCCUGGGCAGCCCUCCCCCCCCAUCUUACUGAGCCUGACCCCCCACCCCCAGCCACAGGCAGUCCCUAAGCAAUACAGAUAGAGCAAGGCCAUUUUCUCCAAGCCAUGGGGGUGAGGGGACUUUUAAAAAGGAAUGAGCCCAUUUCCCCCUGCCACAUGGAACCAGUCUGCAGCAGGGCAGUGGGGGCUGUCAUUCCUCGCCUGCCCUGUUACAUCUCUGUACACGGUACUGUAGCCUCCACUCCAGGCUCCCCAGAUAUCCCUGUCUAACCCAUUAACCCACUCCCCACCCCCGAUGCUUACAGGGUUUUGAUUUAUUUGUGUAUUAAGCAAGAGUAGUUUCUGACCUAGCUGGUGAUGAGAAUGGGCCACCCUCCUUUCCAUGUGUGGGUUUUGUACAUACUGUAAGGUUGAUCUAUAAAUUAUUCUACUGAGACAAAAGGAGACAGUGAACUUGUUUUUCCCCGGUUGACCCCGUCCCAUUGGGAAGGCGAGGAGGGGUUCUCCGGGAGAGUAGCACCUCUCUGCUGUAUCAUACAAGCUGUACCAUAUUCCCUGAAUGUAGGGUGGGCAUGCUGUCGGUUUGUGGGAAGUUGUGUCAUAACUGAGGAGGGUUGGAGGUGGCUUGCCCUGUUCUCUUCCUUCUCCAAGAGCCUAAGAUAGGGUCCGAGGACUGACCAGACCCCUGGCCUCAGUCGGAUCCUCCCGCCAGGGUGGGUGUACACGUGAGCUGCCUAUGGUGUGUUGUCCACACUGACAGUUGAUCAAUUGGUCCGUCGAUUGACAAUCAGUCCUCCAGUCUUGUCCCUGAUUAAAGCGAGGCUGUCACCGGUGCUCCCGGCUGAUGGCUGAUAUGGCUUCA